ACGAACGCUGGCGGCGUGCUUAACACAUGCAAGUCGAACGGAAAGGCCCCUUUGGGGGUACUCGAGUGGCGAACGGGUGAGUAACACGUGAGUAACCUGCCCUUGACUUCGGGAUAACUUCAGGAAACUGGGGCUAAUACCGGAUAGGAAUCCUUGCUGCAUGGUGGGGGUUGGAAAGCUUCGGCGGUUUUGGAUGGACUCGCGGCUUAUCAGCUUGUUGGUGGGGUAGUGGCUUACCAAGGCUUUGACGGGUAGCCGGCCUGAGAGGGCGACCGGCCACAUUGGGACUGAGAGACGGCCCAGACUCCUACGGGAGGCAGCAGUGGGGAAGAUUGCACAAUGGGCGGAAGCCUGAUGCAGCAACGCCGCGUGCGGGAUGACGGCCUUCGGGUUGUAAACCGCUUUCAGCAGGGGCGAAGCUUGUGGUGACGGUACCUGCAGAAGAAGCACCGGCUAACUACGUG
rnacentral:rRNA from 1 species